UUCACGGCUUCGUGGGCCAGCCUGUACUAAUGUCUGUUCUCUAGUUAUGAAUCUCAGCUGCAUUGAAUUCCAAUAAUUUAACAUCAAAGCUUUUUUGGGAGUGGUGAUAUCUGUCCCUUCUAGAUGUAAAAAGAAUCAACUGAAGCUACAAGCAUAUUCCACAGGAAACCUAGAAGGUCAUCUUUUGAUUUAAUAAUCAGAUUUAGUUUUUCGUUCUGCAGCCCAGCAGCGAGAGAAAAUACUUGCAGAGGGUGUGGAACAUAAGACAAAUGAAACCUGGUUCUACAUGCUACAAGAAAGGGCUUGCUUGACACAUAAUCAUCUCAAGUUCUUAUUUAUAUUUAUGAGCUUUCAUAAGCACUUAUUUGGAACAUCCCAGCUGUAAAUCAAUUCAUUAGAAGUUAAAUUCCAUGGGUGGAAGCAAUUUUUUUUUGCAUCAGAAACACUGUGCUGUGUACCUUAUGGGUGCAGUAGAAAGUUUUUCGCCUAUUCCUAGCUGGGGACACUGUUUUUCAAACUGUGUUUGCUCAGCUCCUUAUAAACAAUGUCCACGCAGCCAGACCUGACUGGGGUGUAUUAAAUAACUACACUGGCAGUAAUCACUCUUGAUAGUGACCCUACUUGGACAGCAAGCAACAUCAGGAGACUUCUUCAAAAAUGAAGAAUUUUCAGGACUGCUGUGCUGAUGACAACAUUUAACUCUGGUCAGGAAACUUCUCAAUAUACAUUAUCUGCAAAUGGGUCGGUUUCUGCAGCCCUGCUUCCCUCUCCACCACCCCGGUCGGCUGUUUCCUGUUACUCUUCAUGGAAAUUGAAGCUGGGCCUAAAAGACCUUGGAGGCUUGUAUCUUCUCUUCACAUGAGUGAAGCUUCAGCGAUAAACUUGAACUUAAACUUACCGAGGCGUAACUGAGGGUUCAUUUGAUAGCUAGUGGUUUUCAGCCCCACCGCACGGCUUUGCAGGCUCAACGUGAGCGAGAUUGU